rnacentral:tRNA from 1 species
GCUUCCGUAGCUCAGUUGGUUAGAGCUUCGUACUAAUACCGGGUUCCACAUCUGAUGUUGGUAAUGCGAAGGUCGCAGGUUCAAGCCCUGCCGGGAGCA